rnacentral:rRNA from 1 species
UAAUCGGAAUUANUGGGCGUAAAGCGAGCGUAGGUGGCUUGAUAAGUCAGAUGUGAAAUCCCCGGGCUUAACCUGGGAACUGCAUCUGAUACUGUUAAGCUAGAGUAGGUGAGAGGGAAGUAGAAUUCCAGGUGUAGCGGUGAAAUGCGUAGAGAUCUGGAGGAAUACCGAUGGCGAAGGCAGCUUCCUGGCAUCAUACUGACACUGAGGCUCGAAAGCGUGGGUAGCAAACAGGAUUAGAUACCCUGGUAGUCCACGCCGUAAACGAUGUCUACUAGUCAUUGGGUCCCNNGAGGACUUAGUGACGCAGCUAACGCAAUAAGUAGACCGCCUGGGGAGUACGGCCGCAAGGUUANAACUCAAAUGAAUUGNCGGGGG